CAGUAGCCGCGGUAAUACAGAGGGUCCGAGCGUUGUCCGGAAUUAUUGGGCGUAAAGGGCUCGUAGGCGGUUUGUCGCGUCGGGAGUGAAAACCAGCAGCUUAACUGCUGGCCUGCUUUCGAUACGGGCAGACUUGAGGCAUUCAGGGGAGAACGGAAUUCCUGGUGUAGCGGUGAAAUGCGCAGAUAUCAGGAGGAACACCGGUGGCGAAGGCGGUUCUCUGGGAAUGUUCUGACGCUGAGGAGCGAAAGUGUGGGGAGCGAACAGGAUUAGAUACCCGUGUAGUCCCUGUCUCUUAUAA
rnacentral:rRNA from 1 species